rnacentral:piRNA from 1 species
UGGUGCAUGCCUGUGGUCUCAGCUACUCA